CUACGGGUUGCUGCAGUGGGGAAUAUUGCACAAUGGGCGAAAGCCUGAUGCAGCAACGCCGCGUGAGGGACGACGGCCUUCGGGUUGUAAACCUCUUUUAGCAGGGAAGAAGCGAAAGUGACGGUACCUGCAGAAAAAGCACCGGCUAACUACGUGCCAGCAGCCGCGGUAAUACGUAGGGUGCAAGCGUUGUCCGGAAUUAUUGGGCGUAAAGAGCUCGUAGGCGGUUUGUCGCGUCUGCUGUGAAAAUCCGAGGCUCAACCUCGGACCUGCAGUGGGUACGGCAAACUAGAGUGCGGUAGGGGAGAUUGGAAUUCCUGGUGUAGCGGUGGAAUGCGCAGAUAUCAGGAGGAACACCAAUGGCGAAGGCAGAUCUCUGGGCCGUAACUGACGCUGAGGAGCGAAAGCGUGGGGAGCGAACAGGAUUAGAUACCCCCGUAGUC
rnacentral:rRNA from 1 species